AACCCGACUACAUGAAGCUGGAAUCGCUAGUAAUCGCGGAUCAGAAUGCCGCGGUGAAUACGUUCCCGGGUCUUGUACACACCGCCCGUCACACCAUGGGAGUCGGAAAUGCCCGAAGUCUGUGACCCAACCUACGGGGAGGGAGCAGCCGAAGGCAGGUCGGAUGACUGGGGUGAAGUCGUAACAAGGUAAC
rnacentral:rRNA from 1 species